rnacentral:rRNA from 1 species
GUUUAUGGUCAGACCAACCUGAUUGUACCCAAUGUCAUCUGGUCACUGACGCUAAGCAGAUUUGGGCCUGGUUAGUAUGUGGGUGGGAGACCACCCUGCUCGAGGGAAAUGACCA